rnacentral:rRNA from 1 species
CGGCGGACGGGUGAGUAAUGCCUAGGAAUCUGCCUGGUAGUGGGGGACAACGUUUCGAAAGGAACGCUAAUACCGCAUACGUCCUACGGGAUAAAGCAGGGGACCUUCGGGCCUUGCGCUAUCAGAUGAGCCUAGGUCGGAUUAGCUAGUUGGUGAGGUAAUGGCUCACCAAGGCACGAUCCGUAACUGGUCUGAGAGGAUGAUCAGUCACACUGGAACUGAGACACGGUCCAGACUCCUACGGGAGGCAGCAGCC